UUUGAGGUCUAUCCCAAUGGAGCCUCCCCAAUAGCCACACAUUACUGGAAAUGUCCCAUGUAGAAAAAAACCCUAUGGUUUUGUUUUAAGCACAGGACUCUUUUUUAGAUUUGUGGGAAGAAACUAUAAAACAGUC